UAGGGAAUCUUCCACAAUGGACGCAAGUCUGAUGGAGCAACGCCGCGUGAGUGAAGAAGGCUUUCGGGUCGUAAAACUCUGUUAUUGAAGAAGAACGUGCGUGACAGUAACUGGUCAUGCAGUGACGGUAUUCAAUCAGAAAGUCACGGCUAACUACGUGCCAGCAGCCGCGGUAAUACGUAGGUGGCAAGCGUUGUCCGGAUUUAUUGGGCGUAAAGCGAGUGCAGGCGGUCUUUUAAGUCUGAUGUGAAAAGCCUUCGGCUUAACCGAAGAAGGGCAUCGGAAACUGGGAGACUUGAGUGCAGAAGAGGAGAGUGGAACUCCAUGUGUAGCGGUGAAAUGCGUAGAUAUAUGGAAGAACACCAGUGGCGAAGGCGGCUCUCUGGUCUGUAACUGACGCUGAGGCUCGAAAAGCGUGGGUAGCAAAACAGGAUUAGAUACCCUGGUAGUCCACGCCGUAAAACGAUGAGUACUAAGUGUUGGAGGGUUUCCGCCCUUCAGUGCUGCAGCUAAACGCAU
rnacentral:rRNA from 1 species